GCGGCGGCAGCGUCCUGGUUGGGACGGUUGCGGCUUUUCCGCCCCUCUGCGCCCUGCCACAGUUACCCGGGUCCUUGCCUCGCUCCCUCUUUGUUCCCCGCAGGGCUGCGCGGCCGGAGUGGACGCAGCUGUUCGGGAUGAGGAGGCGGCGGCGCAGAGACGACGCUUCGGAGCUGAAGAGACGCAGCGCCGAUCCCCGGGAUGGCUCAGCCGGAGGGCGAGAUGGGGGGUCGCGGGUGCGGCUUGGGUCCCGCAGGACGCGCUGAGCCUGGGGGAGAUCCCGCGGGUCUGCGACCCGCCCAUCAACGAGGAGCAGGCGUGGACCGUGGGCUACCAGCGCUGCGGCUGCCGGCCGCCGCCAGCCCCGCCGCCGUGAGCGCCGGGCCGCGCAGAUCCUCGUCCUGAGGGACGGCGUGGUCACCCCGGCCCCGGAGAGCCGCCCCCGCCUCAGGGAAGGAGCCGAAGAGUGGAAGACGACAUUGAGCAGCAUCCGACAGGAGAUGACCAUGAUAGUGGACUCGACGGACAAGAGCUAUGUCGAGCAAGGUGCAAACUGUGGCUAGACGUUCUGGUUCAUGGACACGCACAAUCUGAAUGGCAGAGAUGAAACCCACAAGAUGGCCACUGAGACCAGCAGUUUGGUGCAUUCCCACACUUAGAAGAAGCACGAGCCGGCUGACGUGCGCUGACAGACCGGGAAGCUUCACCCCACCAUCUAGGUGGCAGACCGGCGUCAACAUCACACAGAUGAACUGCGUAGGGGGCUGCAGCUUGAAGGAGGGAUAUGAAGUGAGCAUGAGCUUCAGGCCAGGGCUCCUUCUCAGCCCUCCGGGGCCUGAUGCCAGGGACUGUGCUCCCUGCUUAUUCAGCCAGCAGUGGGACCGCAUGAGGGCUGCCAGGAAAGGACCAGAUAUUUCAUCCAUGGAUCCAUUUCCUUCGGGCUGUGAGGCUUAUUACCUGGAAGCUAAAGUAUGUUAAAUGGAACAAGGAGGACCACUUCACCUUUUCUGUUAUUUGGUAUAAAUAGGCAGCGAAAACAGAGGCUUACUACGAGGCUCUCUUUCCCAUUCUUGAUCACCUGUCUUGGCUUUCCUAUAAUUAUGAUUUUAAAUUCUAAUAAUUUUGUGGUAAUUACCUCAGGAAGAAACUGUCCACUUAAAACAAUUUUAGACCAACCAGUGAUGUCAUGUGGUAGAGAUGAGACAGCAGUAAAGGGACUGGCUAGUGUCAUGGCUAUGGCAGUUAUUGUCCUGCCAGCCCAGAGAGCGUGUUGCUGUGCUGGGAUCUAGCACGGACCCCUUUCAGGGGCAUUUCCAGGAGCAGUGAUGUUCUCUCACCAUAUUUAAAAUGGAGGGCCCACCCCUUUCACAGCCUCUAUCAUUUGCUAAUUCUGUUGGAAAGUCAUUCAAGAAAUGAAGAGAAUUAAUUGAUUUAAAGAAGUCUGAUUCAAAGAAGCACACCAGUACCUGAGUAUGUGUGUCUAGUGUGUGUGUGAGAGAGUGAGGGGGGGGGGGGGGGCGGGGGGGGGGGGGGGGGAGUGGGAAGGAGAUUGGAUUUCUUUUCUUUUUACCUUAUUAAAAUUAGUUCACAGUCAUUGGUGAAGAUAAAGUAGCAUGCUUACAGUAAAAAUAGGGUUAUACAGAUAUGUGGUUUUUUAAGUCUUAGAAGGUGUUUCUGGUCCUGUAUCUACCUAGUAACUAGCUCACAGCUGGGAAACAUCUUGUCUGGAAUUAGAGGUGUUUUGAAAUCGUUCCUACCACCUCCAUAUCCUGCGAAUUUCAAACUCUACUUCCUUCUCCUCUUGGGUGCACACCCGUGAUACUUCAUCUUGUGUCCCAGAUGCUGCAUUGUCUUGGAUUUAGCUCCUUCUCUGAGCUUAUUUGCCAAAGAUUUGUUAUGGCAGGCAGAGCCAUGCCUCUUCUUUUCAGACGAGGUCUUUGAUUCAACAUAGACAAAUAGACACACUUUGUUGAGCUGAUAUGUGCGUCCUUGUAUGUUGCCAGUGAGCUUAAUUCAGAAGACAGCAAAGCCAAGGAAGCUCAAACCAGGCCCCAAGGGUUUGAUUUAAGUCCAGAAAAUACUUUCAGAUGAAGUUCUUCAUUUUAGCAAUGCUGAGAAUCUUAGAUUUACCUUUAGCAGUUUAAUGUAUGCAUCAGUGAAAUUGACUGCCUCUGUGUAUUUCCUCAUCCACUUUUAAAGGUGAGUUUAGGAAUUAAUAGGAUUAAGAGUAAGACUUCCAAAAGCAUUAAUAUCUUAUGAAAAACAAAAUCAGUUUAUUGAGAAAAUAUAAGCCUAAUGAAUAGAGGUGAUAUUAUAGUUCUAGCCAAUAUUCUGAAUCUGGAUAUUGCUCAAAUGUUUAUUAAAAAUGUUAAUGUCGAAGAGAUUAGUUAUAGGCUCAACUAACAAUUCAUUAAAUAACCUGAGUCCAAUUUUUAUGGACUAUUUAAAAAUACCUACCUUGAGACUUCCUGUAACUCACAAUAGAUGAUGUGUAUUUGGAAGUAUGCAAAAAAAUUGAUAGGGUGGCGUGCUGGAGCUGGCUCUUCUGGCUCACGAGAGCCUAUUGUGCACACCUCUUUCCAGCUCCCCAUUCAGUGACGUCAUAUUGGGAGUUUGCAAUUGGCUGUGCUGGAAGUAUUUAUAUCAUAGAAAUUAACAGAUGCUAGAAAGCAGAACUUUUUCUGUUCUCUGAAGAUCCUGGUUUACCAGUACACAACUGGGAACAAACCUGUAAUUGACUGAAGAAUUCAUUCGAUCUGGGGGAAAUGAGGACUCUAAAUAGCAAUCUGUUAGAUUUUAAUAGGAAAGUAGUUGUUAUUCUUUGCAUGCAUCCUUUGCAUUCUUUGUUGCAUCUGCCCAAUUACAGUGAGGGUUGCAAGGCUUCACCCUAUGCCUUCCCUGUGUUGUUUAGGAGUUCAGUGGCUGAGCAUGGUAGUUGAGGAGGAGGGUGGCUAGAAAGAACACUUUUGGAAAGCCCUUUUGAAGGUUAAUUUUUGGUUAAAAUAAAUACUUUCUGUAUUUAUUUUUGCAUGCAUGAUGUUGGCGAUUGUAAUUUAUUUUUUGUUUUUUCAUGCUGGGAAUUGUCUUAGGUGGGAUUCCCCAGAAGCAGACCCCAAGACAGAGAUUUGUAUGCAAGUCAUUUUUUAAGAAAGUUUUCCCAGGAGAAGCUGGUUAGAGAGUAAGAGAAGCAAGUAGGAAGGAGCCAAGCCAGGUGGGAUUUCAGGUGACUUCUUAGCUUCACCCUAAUCCAUUGGGGAGCCCUGGGGCCUAAGUUAUAUGGCGGUCUUGGUCCUGCCUCACUGCAUGGCAGGCUUUCCCGCACUUCAGUGAUCAGCCACUGGCUAUGGGCUGCUCAGGGGGCCAUAAACUCCCAGGUCCCUCCAGCUCUCUGCACAUCUAGUUGAAGCAGCUCCAGUAGCCCAGAGAUAGUCUUCUGAAGAAGACUGCACACAGAGAUGGGCCAAAGGACCUUGGCCAACAGAAGUCCAUGUGAGCCUGGCAGGGGAAAGUGUGGACAUCCAGGACAGAGCUUGGCUACAUAGCAGCCCCCAGUUCUGACUGUGCAAAAUUUGAAAUGACAGAUUGCUGGACAUUGAGUCCAGAUGUCACAGCCUUGGUGUUGAAGCAGAAGGGGAUAGCAGACCCAGGACUAGACUUCAGAGAAAUCUUAUGGAUGGUCACCCUAGCUGGAACAAUGCUCCAUAGCACUAUAUUCUUUUUAAGAAGCAGGUUUUGUGUGAUGCUGAGCUUUUGACACAGUGUUUAAGUGUGUCAUCCAAAGUCUUGAGAAUCUGUGACUGCCACAAGCAUCAGCGUUUGGCAUCAUUGAGAAACUCUCAGAAAGCAGGCUGGUUCUGGAGUGGAGCAGAGAGGAGGCUGAGAAGCAAAGCACAGACAAUGGUGGAGCUGAGGGCUGAUCCAGUGUGGAGGGCAGGGACCCAGAGGUAGUUCUGAGUUAGUGGCAGUUGACUGGAAGCAGUUGAUGGGCAGGGCGGCAGGUAGAACCCAAGACAGUUAGAACAAGCCAUUUCCACAGCAGCUGGCUCUUUAUUAGCUGGAAAGUGCAGCAGGCCACAGCCAAGGCUUAUGUGGAGGGAAGGUCAUACAAAUAUUGGACUGUUGACUCUUCCAGACGCUUUGUGCUUUAAAAUUUCCCAUCCACAACUUUGGUGUUGCAAAGUCCUGAGAAUGUGGAGGGCUGGAGGGGCCAGAGCACUCCUGCCUUGGUGGCAGGUGUGGGAGGAAGUUUGCUCUGGAGGGGCAGCAAGCAGGACAGGGAUGGGGUGAUGUGGGGAGGACAAGUUUGCUCUCUUCUCUCUUCUCUCUUCUUCCAUGGUCAGGCUGGCCAUCUGCGAUUACAACACCACUGAGCCGAUAGAGCAGAGGCGCAGAUAAGUCAUUUCUAGGGAGGCUUGGCCUAGGCAGCAGCAUCUGUCAGGUGUGUUUGACUUGACAAUAACGCUGGCCCCUAUUCCCUCUGAGCCUGGCUGAAACGAGGAAAGAGCAGGGGGGGGGAGUUCAACCGCUGUUUCCCAAUUCUCACAGCCAUUACUGGGCUCUCAGCAUUUCUCAGUUGGGGUGUAGCUACUGCCUUUCUUGGUGGUUUUUCUGACUCCAAUCUGCUCUCCACAAAGCAGCUAGAAUUAAAACAACAAAAAGCAGUCUGUCCUGGCAUUCCUUAUUAAAGCUCUGUAAUGUCCUCUUAGUUCUGCCCUGAUCCGCCUCUCCACAACCCUUGUCUCCAGCAUGGUGUGCUGCCCUGGGGCCUGGGAUCACCUCUUGUCCCUGCCUCAGACCUCACAGUCUGCUUUCUCAUUCUGGACGCUUUUCCUUCCUCUCCCUGAGACUUGGGCCGUCUCGCCCUUCCUCUGGGUCCAGCAAGACCACCGCCUCCUUAGAGGUUUUCUUGUCUGACAGGGCCUCCCUGUGAAGCUCUGUCUGUGCGUCCUGUUAAUUCACUCAUGGUUCUCAUCACCAAGCGUGAUGUUUGUUUGCCCCAAGUCUGUUUCCAUAGCGGAGGUGGCCAUCACAUUGGUUCCUCACAAGCACUUAGCACACAGUGUGUGCAGCACCUGUCGAUGAGUGAACACGUGGACUCUAGUUUGUUUUCUACAACCUACCCUGUGUUCUGCCAGAAGACUCCACUUGUGUGUUAGUCUCUUGCUUAAAAGUCUUGGUAGCUUUGAUUUUUAUAGGCUUGAAUCUACAGCGUCUCAGUCAGGCUUUCGAGGAAUGCAGGCAAUUCUUACCACUGUGGCCCAGGUGGGUAGCAUCUGCACUGUCCCCCAAACAAGCCAACUUUUUCUGGAUCAUGUUCUCUGGCCAUGCCUUUUCCACACUGGACUCCCCUCUCUUCCCUCGACAAGCCUUUUGCUUCCAAACCUUGCCCUCUGAUUUCUCUUCCUCUGAAUUAUUUUCAGGAUUUAUUUUGAGACUUAACUUUUGUGACUCGAUCAUAUACCUUUUAUUCAUAAUUAUUUUUAUGAGUGUCUGUACGUCUGUUUUCCUGCAAAUACUUUAUGUUCUUAAAGGGCAGAGACUAUGGAUUUUGUACUUUUCACAGUGCCUUGCAGGCAUUUCUUAACUUGAAUUAAUUUAGGAAAACAAAAAAAUAAUAAAAUAUGUGAUUCCUGCUAGAAUGUAAGCACAAGUGAUUGCAUGAGGGCAGUGAUUUUUUUUAAACUGCUUUGAUCACUCUUAUGUUUCUGGAGCCUUGAGUAGUGCCUGGCAUGUUAAUAAAUAUUAGUUUAAUGAGUUAAUCUUUUAAAAUAUGAUGGGGAAAAUAUCCUUAUUCCAUGAAGCUUUCAUAUUUUCUAAUAAUAAAAAAAUCAACAUGGAAGUAAUGCUCCUGACUUGUCCUAGUGAGUAGUUUUGCGUUAUUUGGAUGUUAGCCAUAAUUUAUCUGCUGAUUUCUACCAUAUUGAAUUCAGCAAGUUAUCUGCUAACAGGAUUGAUUUGCCAUUUCAUCAAAGAAGUCAAUGAAAAGGUCGUAUUUGAAUUAUAGAAAUUUACAAGGAAACAUUUCAGGGACACAGUCCUUGGGGAAAGUGGCAUAUAGUUAGCACAAUUUGGAGCAAGGGGCAGUGGGUUAUGUGAGGUGGAGCUCUGGUCUGAGUCAGGAGACAUGUCCCAGGCUGAGUUUUGGGGUUUUCUGUGGCUUUGGACCAGGAACUUAACUUCUUUGGCACUUGCUUGUCUCAUAAACAUGAGGGAGUUAUAUUAGGUUUCCUGUAGUUUUAACCUUGGGGGGCUACCUCGUGUAUCUUCUAACUAGUUCCCUCAGAUGCUGAUUUUGUUCUGUCAGCUCCCAAACUGUAUUUGCUGUGAUGCAACACACUGCUUACCAAGGAAUUCCUUGCAACUGGGGUUGAUGCAUUUUUUUGUAAAUGUUUAAGAACAGGUUUGGUGCCACAUCUUGUGCCCCAAAACUGCCCAGUGAAGUGGAAAAAGCCCUGGUUCUCAAGUAAGAGACCCAAGUCAAGUGUAAGUCUCCAUUUUCGUAAGUUUGAUAACUGAGGCUUGGCCAUUUCACUUUACUUUCCCGAGUGGUAAAUGGGGGUGAUCUCAUCAGUUUCUUCUGCCUUAGAGGCUUUUGUGGGGAUCAAAUGAGGUUAUGUAUGGGAGAGUGCUUUUAUAAAAUGCAAAUAGUUACAUGGAUAAAGGUCCUAUGUUUAAUAAUUUAAUAUAUAAAUGGUAUGCUCUCAAAUCAUCUUCUCGAAUGUUUUAUCUGAAGUAUUUUCAAACCCACUCAGUUUUCUUUCCUGUCUCACUUCUCAAAAUCCCCUCAGCUUGCUGUCUUGUCAGGGAAAAAAAAGAAUGGAAAAUUUUCUAAAUCCUGAUUACCUGCUGCCUUUAGCAGACCCCUUGGGUUUGAAGCUGGAAGGGCUCAAUUCCUCCUAGUUAGAAGAGGUCAUGGUCAAUGAAUACUUGCUAAGUGAUGAUUUGACUGCUAACUUUCAGGUGCCCUCCCUGAAACACAGACCCCAGAGAAGAGGCUUGCUUUUUGAACAGAAAUAAAACCAAAUCCUGUAUUUCUAUGUAUAACCAGAAGUAAAAUAAAAUAAAAAUAAAGUUAAAAAGC